UGCUAGUUUGCAACCUGGAACUGACAUUUCCUGCGAUUUCAUGUUGAUCAGGAUGUAAGCCAGAUGUUUUGGACUACAUAUCCCCAGCCAACAAGAUCAAUGGGCCAAGUGUCCAGAGGAAUGUUGGACCAACCUAUGAAUUGCUCUCCUGCACAAAACCCAACGCUUGGCGACAGCAAAUUGGGCCAGGAAAUUAGCAUUGACUUCUCCAAGCUGCUACACGUGGCCUGUUUUUCACGGUUGUGUGAGAAGCAUCAGGCAGGACCUUGACAUAAAAAGGACCGUUAAGCAGCAGCAGAAGAAACUAUACCGAAGUGCUCCUGGAACUACAGAGAAAGAAAACUUUUAACCAACUUUUCUGGAUGUGGCAGAGCUACUCCCCAUUCUUUUAGAGUACAGUGGAGAAAUAUUUACACAUCAUUUAGUAUUUAUACCAGAAAAUUGUUAUUACUUUUAAGGAACCUCUGAAGAAGACUAAGCCGAGACAUGACAACUGGCCAAAUCACAAUUGAAUCAGGAUACUUUUAAAAUGGUGAAGAAAGUGAAACUGAAGAGCUACCAUCACCAUCAACUAGGACACAGCUAGAAAUCCAGAUUGAAAUAUCAACCCUGGGUCAAGCUUCACAUUCUCAAUGUUUUUUUAAAAUCACAUAUUAUAUACCAAUAUAAUGGUCGGCCAACGUUCCAUUUUUUGUUAGUGCAGAAGAUAAUUUUGACACGUAACUGUUAGUAUGCUGGAUAAGAGCACUAGUGCAAU